CUUUGUUCGUGUCUGUCUUGUUUUUCUUCAAACACCUGUGCUGCAACAUGUCUCAGCUAUUGCCAACAGCAAGAGAGUAGAGUUCCAUUCGAGAGGUCUGUUUUUUUCAUUCCUUUUAUUGAAUUCUUGCCAUUUUCGUGUUGGAUUUUUUUGUUUGAUUGUUCUAAAAUUGGUUAAAACAGUUCGUAGUAAGUGAUAUUUCAAUUGGCUGUUAAUAGAUGUGGCCAGUAAUUCUUAUUCUUCUUCUUUAAUGUGAUUUUUGUUUAUAAAGAAAUCCAAUUCUUGCCCACCUUGUCUUCCUUCACUGGUAAAAGAAAAAUAAAUGAAAUUCUAAACUUAGUGAGUGGAUACGUCAGAUUGGUUUUGAAAAACUUGUAUUUAGUUUGCGAAGAUUUUAAGUGAACUCAGAAUUUUAGUAUAAUUUGGAUGUAGGGGAACUCAGAUGCAUAAGGCAAUUACUUCUUAUAAGUAAGAUGAUUCCUAUGUAAUUUAUGCAAAGAAAGCAAGUAUCCAAACACUAGGCUUUUAUGAAUUCAGAUCUAAGCUAAAAGUGUAGAUUAACCAACUUUUCUGUUAGUUAGUUUGUGAGAUUGUGGUUCUUAAAAAAGCAAUUUUAGCAACUCAAUCAUCAAAAAUCAAUAAUGAUACAAGAAAAAGAAAAGCAAAAGCAAACUAUGGGAAUUUCUUCCAUGAAGUAAUUUGUUGAUUGGUUUCUUCAUGUAUUUUUAAGAGUGUGAGAAGUGAAAGUUUCAUGUUUCCAUUCCCAUCCAUAAGCACAGUUGUAAAUCUUAGCAGCUUAGGCCAUGGCAUGUUUGAUAGCAUCUUAGCUUUUGGCCUUGACCAAUCUAGGCCUGAUCACAAGUCAGAAUCCACUUGUGAGCCUCAUGAGAUGAGGUAAUCUAUCAGGUUGGAAUUGAACUUAGUCGCUUUGUAACAAUGAUUUCUCUCUCUGAUUUCACAUUUUGCCUUGGAUGAUUUCUUAGCUGCUAGGAUCAGCACUGGAGAUUGCAGUAUGACACACUGCAGUAGGAUUUUGUGCUCCAAAAUGGUUUAGCAGCUCUAGUAUGAAUCCACUAUUCAGGACUGAAGCUCUUUGCCAUUCUGCAAAUUUAUGAAGGCUUUGUCUGUGAUUUAUUUAUUUAUUCAUUUAUUUUUAUUUCACCGUGGCUUUGCUUGCAAGAUAUUUUUCAGAUAACUCCUGUGUGGUUUUUGUUGAUAAUUAAUUAUCCAGAAAAUCAAGCACCUGGAGUUUUUUUAUUGGGUGUAAGGGGACUUAGAUGCACAAGGCCAAUUUCUUCUUAGAAGUAACAUGCUUCGUAUAUAAUUUAAUACAAAUACAGAAAGUAUCCUAGUUUAGACUGUUAUGAAUUGAGAUCUAAGCUAAUAGAGCAGCUUUAACUUCAUGUUUAAGCACAGUUGUAAGUACUAGGAGCCUAGCCAACCCAUUGCAAGUUUGAUAAUGUCUUAUUAUUGGGUCUUGACCAAUCUAGGCCUGACAAGUCAGAAUCCUCUUGUGGGCCUGAUGAGAUGAUUGAAGUUCUCUAUAUGCAAAUUUAUUAAUGCUUUGAGUGUCUUUGAUUUUUUUUUUUAUAACCUUUCUGUAGCUUUGUAACAAUGGUUUCUCUCUCUGGUUUCACCUUUUUGCCUUGCAAAAUUUCUACUACGCUCAGCACCGGAUAUUGCACUCAAAAGUUCUAUUGGUUUCAUUUUUUCCUUUAUUAAAUUUUUGCAGUAUUUCAUGCUGCAAUUACGAUUUUGUGCCCGAAAAUGGUUUAGCAGCUUUAAUAUGAAUCCAGGGGAGUAAGGAGCAGUGAGUUGGCGUUUGAUGCCGUGUAACUCGCAGAACUUGCUGAACUCAUUCGAUGUAAACUCGCCUCCUUUGUCUGUUCUAAACGUUUUGAGCUUACAUUCGGACUUGACUUUAAUAUGAGCUUUCAUUUUCUUGAAAGCACUAAAAACCUCAUCUUUUCUUUUGAGCAUUUCAAUCCAUAUAUAACGACUGUAAUCAUCCACGAGCAAGAGAAAAUACUUGUUUUUGCCGCAUGUGGUAGGUGAUGACGGCCCGCACAAGUCACCAUGCACGAGUUCUAGAGAUUUGGUUGCUUGAUACUCUCCUGCUUUCAGGAAACUCGUGCGAUGCUGUUUACUGAUCACACAUUGUUCACAGAUGUGCUUCACUGUUUCUAUCUCCGGUAAACCUUUCACCAUGUUUUCUUGUGCGAGCUUGCGUAAAGCUUGAUAGUUGAGGUGCCCGUAGAGUGCGUGCCAUAAGCAAGGCUUUUCAGACAACCUUGUCAGGUGGCACUUCGAUUUUGCUUGUGUCAUUCUAAUCGUGUAAAGGCGAUUUUCCGCUCUAUGCACCUUGGCUAUCAACUUGUCAUUUGCGUCAUAUUCUCUAAGAAUUUCUCCUUUCACCACCACUUUUGCUCCUGAUUCGUCGAGUUGACCAAGACUUAUAAUAUUGGAUCUUAAUCGAGGAAGAUAGUACACAUUCGUUAGUUCGAAAUGAUCUCGGUUCUUGCACUGAAACACUGAAGUGCCUCGGCCUUCUACCUUGACGACUGAACCAUCACCGAACCCGACAUUCCCUUUCAUUGAUUCAUCGAGAUUGGUUAAGGCUAGCUUGUUACCUGUCUUAUGGUUGCUUGCCCCCGUAUCAUAAGCUCGUCUGUGCCCUAGCUGUUACAUUGAUAGUUUGUUAAUAAGCACGUACCCACGUGCUCUGAAUAUUUUGAAUUGUUCAGUGUUUGUUUCCUUCAACCCGAGUCUUGCGCAAUGUGGCUUCAAGCUCGAAUUAAGUUUCAUUUUUCAGUUUGUAAUGGUUGUUAUAUUGAUUCAAGUAUAAAUAAGAACAAAAGGCCAAUCAAGAUUAUCGAUUAAGUUUGAAAAAUCUGAGCAAAAACCCUAACAUAAAAACAUUGCAGAAACUCAAAGUGCACUGUCUGGCUCACACCCUCGAGAGUUUGUUUUUAGAGUCUACGCGGUUCUCAUAAAGUCUGUCCUUUCAGCCAUUUCCACUUACACUAUGUCAAUUCUUAAGCAUCCCAGGAUUUUUUGUAAAAAGCUAAAUAGCAUUCUCUCAAACUUCUGGUGGGGAAGCGGUGAAGACUCGAGAAAAUGCAUUGGAUUAGUUAGAAAAAAGCUUUCAUUCCUAAAGCUAAAGGCGGCAUGGGUUUCAAGGAUUUCAAUAUUUUUAAUCUCGCUUGUCUUGGGAAAUAAUGUUGGAGACUUAUUCAGAAUCCGACAGCGGUUUGGGCUUGACUCAUCAAAAGUGUUUAUUUUCCAAGUACAGAUCUUUGGCAAGCUUCUCAUUCUAGAGAAGGCUCAGGGUAAACUUGUGAUUUUAAAUACGUUAUUAACUUUCUAAUUAUAUUCCUGAGCCGGCAAGUUUUAAUUGCAACUGUGUGUUGGUUUAUUUGGAAAGAAAGGAACAAGGCAAUCUUUAACCACAUGCCUCCAUAUCCUAUCUUUGUGGCUCGCAAGACCCUUUCUAGCUUUCAAGAGCUAGAGUUUGUAAGAGACAUAAGCCGGUCAAUAGUAUUGUUCAUAAUUCUGGUGUUUCUGUUUGGCAAGCUCCACCUUUUGAGAUGUUAAAGUUCAAUUCUGAUGCUGCUUAGAAAUCUCAUUCUAUGUUUGCUUCUAUUGCUAUUGUGGUUCGGAACUCUUAUGGUAGAAGUUUAUAUGGUAGAAUUUGUAAGGCUGUUGCCGAGUCUCCUGUUGUGGUAGAAGCUUUAGGGGUCCUAGAGGCUAUGAAACUUGCUUUAGAGAUGGGAGCUAAGAAUGUUUUUAUGGAAAUAGAUUCAAAAUUGGUACAUUCUGCUGUCAUUCAAAAUUGUUUUUAUGGAAAUAGAGGCUAUGAAAAAAUAGAUGGCGAUAAAACCUAAACUAGAUAAAAAUAGAAAAGGAAAGGCUCUCCUCUGUCCACAAAACAAAAGAGAUCACUGGGAUAAGAAGAAUUUUAAAAGCAGAAAGAGAAAAAAAAAAGACUAAAUUUAUGAUCUUAAUGUGUGCGUAUUAUGAAAAAUAAAAUACACAUUUACGUUUAAUAACAUGAGCAGCUUAGGUUAUUUAAAUCAUACGCUAAAUGGAUUAAACGUUAUUGUUUUUUAUUGAAUGUUAUACUCGAAUUAAUUUUUUACUUCUAAUCUUAUAAUUUUUAUUUAUUUUAUUUUUUUAUUAAAAAAAAUAAUUUUGUAUUAAUUUUCUACUUAUAUUUAUUUUAAAUAUAUUAACAAAAUAUUUGAAAUAGAAAUAUUUUAAAUAUUCACUUAGUCUCUGUUUUAUAUAAAAUAAUUUGUAUUUAGAAAAUAUUUUUUUUAAAAAUAUUUUUUAUAAAAAAUAACUUUUGUGAAAAAUAGAGAUAAAUUAUUUUUUAUUAUUCAAUUUUAAUUUUAAAAAUAAAAUUUAUUAAUAAAUUUAUAUAUAAAAAUUUUAAUAAGAAUCUUGAAAAUUUACUUUCUUUUUUAAAAUAAUUUCUCAUUAAAUUUUUUUCAUGGUUCCAGUUUUUUCAAAAAAAUAUAUUUUAUAUUUUCUAUUCUUUAGCAUAUUCAAAAAAUUUACUUAAUAAUAAAUAUUUUUCCAUAAAAAAUAAAUAAAUCAUUUUAAAAGAAAUAACUUUUUCUUUUGAUAUUCUUAUUAAAAUCUCUAUAUAUAAAUUUGUUAAUAAAUUUUAUUUUUUAAAUUAAAAUUAAAUAAUAAAAAAAUAAAUUAUUCCAUUGAAAAAUAUUUUUUAAAUAUAAUUUAUUUAUUUUUAAUAUAAUUUAUUUAAGGAAAAAUAUUUUUUGUAAAAAUUAUUUUUAAAUAUAAAUUAUUUUCUGUAAACGGAGGCUUAUAAUUAAAGAAAUUCCAUACACGUUGGAAAAAGAAGCAAGCAAUUUGACGGGCCGAAAAUGUAUUUGAUUUUGGGCAUGAAAGCCCAUUGAAUGUCCAUCGUAAAAUCACAAGUUUGCCUGCCCAGGGUUUGCGUUUCGAUUUCACUCCAUCCUCAAACAGACCAUACACGUUACACUCAGUACACACCGUAUUCUCUGUUCCUUGUGAUGAAUCUUGAUGCGAUGGGUAAGAUUCAUCUGAUGAUCAUGGGAUCUCUUUUAUCAACGGUUAAAACUUAUUGUCACUGUACCAUUAACCAGACUCUUCCUACUCAAGGACACACGCAAUCAUCGUGAACAAUUGAUCAAUUGCCCACCCAUAUUCACCUAUCGAGUGGAGCCACCUUAUAUUACCACAGACAGGUGUCGCACUUCCAAGCAUGAUCUACAGGUCACUGACCAUUCGUUGAGACACAUCAUCAGUGGAGGGCCCACGCGUAUGGUGUUAUCAAGGUGGCUUAAGAUGGGCAGCUAGUCAGGUGGUCUGGUUGAAAUCAAACUAAAAUCUAAACCCACAUCGUUCAUUGACUUCAUUUUAAUAUUCUUUAUAAUGCGAAGCGAAAUAUACAAUGCUUGUCCCUUCGGGGACAUCCGAUAAAAUUGGAACGAUACAGAGAAGAUUAGCAUGGCCCCUGCGCAAGGAUGACACGCACAAAUCGAGAAAUGGUCCAAAUUUUUUUUAAUCCAAAACCUUACUUCUCGAUUGGAGCUCUGCUUUGUUGGUGUCUGUCUUGUUUUUGUUCAAACGCCUGUGCUGCAACAUUUCUUAGCUAUUGCCAACAGCAAGGGAGUAGAGUUCCAUUCGAGAGGUCUGUUUUUUUCCUUCCUUUUAUUGAAUUCUUGUCAUUUUCGUGUUGGAUUUUUUUGUUUGAUUGUUCUAAAAUUGGUUAAAACAGUUCGUAGUAAGUGAUAUUUCAAUUGGCUGUUAAUAGAUGUUGCCAAUAAUUCUUAUUCUUCUUCUUUAAUGUGAUUUUUGUUUCUUGGGAUUUAUGUUCUUCCACAUGAAUGCGGGAAUAGAGGUUUGUCCUGGCUUGGAAAUUUAUCAAAUUGUAUUAGGAUCUUUUGCUUGCUAAACAUUGUUUGGAUGGUUUCUAUGUUCAUCCACAUGAAUGUGGUACUUUGCUUUCAUGUCAAUCUAUAAGUAAAGAAAUCCAAUUCUUACCCACCUUGUCUUCCUUCAUUGGUUAAAGAAAAAUAAAUGAAAUUCUAAACUUAGUGAGUGGAUACGCCAGAGUGGUUUUGAAAAACUUGCGUUUAGUUUGCGAAGAUUUUAAGGGAACUCAGAAUUUUAGUAUAAUUUGGAUGUAGGGGAACUCAGAUGCAUAAGGCAAUUACUUCUUAAAAAGAUUCCUAUGUAAUUUAUGCAAAGAAAGCAAGUACCCAAACACUAGGCUUUUAUGAAUUCAGAUCUAAGCUAGAAGUGUAGAUUAAUCAACUUUUCUGUUAGUUAGUUUGUGAGUUUGUGGUUCUUUAAAAAGCAAUUUUAGCAACUCAAUCAUCAAAAAUCAAUAGUGAUACAAGAAAAAGAAAAGCAAAAGCAAACUAUGGGAAUUUCUUCCAUGAAGUAAUUUGUUGAUUGGUUUCUUCAUGUAUUUUUAAGAGUGUGAGAAGUGAAAGUUUCAUGUUUCUAUUCCCAUCCAUAAGCACAGUUGUAAGUCUUAGCAGCUUAGGCCAUGGCAUGUUUGAUAGCAUCUUAGCUUUGGGGCUUGACCAAUCUAGGCCUGAUCACAAGUCAGAAUCCACUUGUGAGCCUAAUGAGAUGAUGUAAUCUAUCAGAUUGGAAUUGAACUUAGUCCCAUAUUGUUUAGUUAUGCAUAAUUGUAAAGCCUUGUAUAAAACAGAAACAAGAGGUUGUCCAGUAUGGCCCCUGCGUAAGGAUGACUGGCACAAAUCCAGAAAUGGUCCAAAUUUUGUUUUUAAACCUUUCUGAAGCUUUGUAACAAUGGUUUCUCUCUCUGAUUGCACAUUUUGCCUUGGAUGAUUUCUUAGCUGCUAGGAUCAGCACUGGAGAUUGCAUUCAAAAUUUCUUAGCUAUUGGUUUCUUUUUUUUUUUUCCUUUAUUAAAUGAUUGCAGUAUGACAUACUGCAGUAGGAUUUUGUGCUCCAAAAUGGUUUAGCAGCUCUAGUAUGAAUCUACUAUUCAGGACUGAAGCUCUUUGCCAUUCUGCAAAUUUAUGAAGGCUUUGUCUGUGAUUUAUUUAUUUAUUCAUUUAUUUUUAUUUUACUCUCGCUUUGCUUGCAAGAUAUUUUUCAGAUAACUCCUGAGUGGUUUUUGUUGAUAAUUAAUUAUCCAGAAAAUCAAGCACCUGGAGUUUUUUUAUUGGGUGUAAGGGGACCUAGAUGCACAAGGCCAAUUUCUUCUUACAAGUAACAUGCUUCCUAUAUAAUUUAAUACAAAUACAGAAAGUAUCCUAGUUUAGACUGUUAUGAAUUGAGAUCUAAGCUAAUAGAGCAGCUUUAACUUCAUGUUUAAGCACAGUUGUAAGUACUAGGAGCCUAGCCAACCCAUUGCAAGUUUGAUAAUGUCUUAUUAUUGGAUCUUGACCAAUCUAGGCUUGACAAGUCAGAAUCCACUUGUGGGCCUGAUGAGAUGAUGUAAUCCAUCCAUGUUGUAAAGUCAUCUAGUUGGAAUUGAACUUAGUCCCACAUCGUUUAGUUAUGUAAAGUUGAAAGCCUUUAUAAAAAUAAAACAGAAAUAAAUGGUUGUCCCUUCGGGGACAUCCGAUAAAAUUUGAAUGAUACAAAGAAGAUUAGCAUGGCCCCUGCGCAAGGAUGACACGCACAAAUCGCAAAAUGGUCCAAAUUUUUUUUUAAUCCUCCAGAUUUUUGUACCCUAGCCUUUGCUGAUUUUCAAAUGGUUUCUCUUCUGAUUUUACAUUUUUCCCUGCAAAAUUUAUUGGCAUUAAGAUCAAUACUGGACAUCAAAUCCAAAAAUUCUGUUGUUAUUUCCUUUCCUUUAUUAAAUUCUUGUUAUAUUUCACAGUGCAAUUAGGAUUUUGUUCUCCAAAAUGGUUUAGGAGCUCUAAUAUGAAUCUAUGAUUGAAGCUCUCUAUAUGCAAAUUUAUUAAUGCUUUGAGUGUCUUUGAUUUUUUUUUUACAACCUUUCUGUAGCUUUGUAACAAUGGUUUCUCUCUCUGGUUUCACCUUUUUGCCUUGCAAAAUUUCUACUACGCUCAGCACGGGAGAUUGCACUCAAAAGUUCUAUUGGUUUCUCUUUUUCCUUUAUUAAAUUUUUGCAGUAUUUCAUGCUGCAAUUAAAAUUUUGUGCCCAAAAAUGGUUUAGCAGCUCUAAUAUGAAUCCAGGGGAGUAAGGAGCAGUGAGUUGGCGCUUGAUGCCGUGCAACUCGCAGAAAUGUAUACUUGCCUCCGUGGUCUGUUCUAAACGUUUUGAGCUUACAUUCGGACUGGACUUCAAUAUGAGCUUUCACUUUCUUGAAAGCACUAAAAACCUCAUCUUUUCUUUUGAGCAUUUCAAUCCAUAUAUAAUGACUGUAAUCAUCCACGAGCAAGAGAAAAUACUUGUUUCUGCCGCAUAUGGUAGGUGAUGACGGCCCGCCCAAGUCACCAAAAACGAGUUCCAGAGAUUUGGUUGCUUGAUACUCUCCUACUUUCAGGAAACUCGUGCGAUGCUGCUUAUUGAUCACACAUUGUUCACAGACGUGCUUCACUGUUUCUAUCUCCGGUAAACCUUUCACCAUGCUUUCUUGUGCGAGCUUGCGUAAAGCUAGAUAGUUGAGGUGCCUAUAGCGUGCGUGCCAUAAGCAAGGCUUUUCAGACAACCUUGUCAGGUGGCACUCCAAUUUUGCUUGUGUCAUUCUCAUCGUGUAAAGGCGAUUUUCCGCUCUAUACACCUUGGCUAUCAACCUGUCCUUUGCGUCAUAUUCUCUCAGAAUUCCUCCUUUCACCACCAAUUUUGUUCCUGAUUCGUCGAGUUGACCGAGGCUUAUAAUAUUGGAUCUUAAUCAAGAAAUGUAGUACACGUUUGUUAGUUUGAAAUGAUCUCCGUUCUUGCACCGAAACACUGAAGUGCCUCGGCCUUCUACCUUGACGACUGAACCAUCACCGAACCUGACAUUCCCUUUCAUUGAUUCAUCGAGAUUGGUUAAGGCUAGCUUGUUACCUGUCAUAUGGUUGUUUGCCCCCGUAUCAUAAGCUCGUUCGUGCCCUACCUGUUACGUCGAUAGUUUGUUAAUAAGCACGUACCCACAUACUCUGAAUAUUUUGAAUUGUUCAGUGUUUGUUUCCUUCAACUCGAGUCUUGCGCAAUGUGGCUUCAAGCUCGGAUUAAGUUUCAUUUUUCAGUUUGUAAUGGUUGUUACAUUGAUUCAAGUAUAAAUAAGAACAAAAGGCCGAUCAAGAUUAUCGGUUAAGUUUGAAAAAUCUGAGCAAAAAACCUAAUACAAAAAUACUGCAGAAACUCAAAGUACACUGUUUGGCUCACACCCUCGGGAGUUCGUUUUUAGAGUCUACACAGUUCUCAUAAAGUCUGUCCUUUCAGCCAUUUCCACUUACACUAUGUCAAUUCUUAAGCAUCCCAGGAGUUUUUGUGAAAAGCUAAAUAGCAUGCUCUCAAGCUUCUGGUGGGGAAGUGGUGAAGACUCGAGAAAAUGCAUUAGAUUAGUUAGAAAAAAGCUUCCACUCCUAAAGCUAAAGGCGGCAUGGGUUUCAAGGAUUUCAAUCUUUUUAAUCUCGCUUGUCUUGGGAAAUAGUAUUGGAGACUUAUUCAGAAUCCGACAGCGGUUUGGGCUUGACUCAUCAAAGGUCUUUAUUUUCCAAGUACAGAUCUUUGGCAAGCUUCUCAUUCUAGAGCAGGCUCAGGGUAAACUUGUGAUUUUAAAUACGUUAUUAACUUUCUAAUUAUAUCCCUGAGCAGACAAGUUUUAAUUGCGACUGUGUAUUGGUUUAUUUGGAAAGAAAGGAACAAGGCAAUCUUUAACCACAUGCCUCCAGAUCCUAUCUUUGUGGCUUGCAAGACCCUUUCUAGUUUUCAAGAGCUAGAGUUUGUAAGAGACAUAAGCCGUUCAGUAGUGUUGUUCAUAAUUCUGGUGUUUCUGUUUGGCAAGCUCCACCUUUGGGAAUGUUAAAGUUCAAUUCUGAUGCUGCUUGGAAAUCUUAUUCUAUGCUUGCUUCUAUUGCUAUUGUGGUUCGGAACUGUUAUGGUAGAAGUUUAUAUGGUAGAAUUGGUAAGUGGUUGUUGCCGAGUCUCCUGUUGUGGUAGAAGCUUUAGGGGUCCUAGAGGCUAUGAAACUUGCUUUAGAGAUGGGAGCUAAGAAUGUUUUUAUGGAAAUAGAUUCAAAAUUGGUACAUUCGGCUGUCAUUUAAAAUUGUUUUUAUGGAAAUAGAGGCUAGCAACCUGCUGAAGCUGCUGUCCAAGGGACACAGCACAUACUGAAUCUGCCGGGCUUUUUGCAAAAUAAAGUUAAAAAAAAAAAAUAUUUCUUAAAUCCUGGUGCGCGAAAAAAUAUUUCUUAAACCAAGGUGAAUCGGUCUUCUACCGCAUUUUAUAAGUGCGGUAUUUUAUAAGUGCGGUAAGCUUUACCGCAUUUAUAAAAUGCGGUAGAGAGUCAUUGAAACAAAAUUAUAAUUUUUUUAAAUAAAAAAAAUUCUACCGCACUUUUAAAGUGCGGUAGAAUUUUUAAUAUAUUAUUUUUUAAUAAUUAAAAAUAUAUUGGCAGAGAGGGAGGGCAGAGAAAAAGUCCUCUACCGCACGAGAAUAUCAAAAAGUUAAAUUAUUUUAAUUUAUUUUAAUUUUAAAAAAAAUAAAAAUUAUACAUAAUUUUUAAUUAUUUAAUUUAUUUUUUUAUAAAAUAAAUAGAAACAUUUAUAUUUUAUAUUUUAAGUUGAUUGUUGUUCAGAAAAAGAACACUACCGCACUUUUAAAGUGCGGUAGAAGAGAGAGAAUAUAAAAAAGUUAAAUUAUUUUAAUUUAUUUUAAUUUUAAAAAAAUAAAAAUUAUGUAUAAUUUUUUAAUUAUUUAAUUUAUUUUCUCAUAAAAUAAAUAAAAAUAUUUAUAUUUUAAAUUGAUCAAAAUAUAUUUUUUAUUUUAUUAGUUGAAAUAUAUAUAUAUAUAUAUUUUAAUAAAUAAUUAUUAAUUAUUAUAUUUUUCAUUAUUAUAAUACCGCACUUUUAAAGNNNNNNNNNNNNNNNNNNNNNNNNNNNNNNNNNNNNNNNNNNNNNNNNNNNNNNNNNNNNNNNNNNNNNNNNNNNNNNNNNNNNNNNNNNNNNNNNNNNNNNNNNNNNNNNNNNNNNNNNNNNNNNNNNNNNNNNNNNNNNNNNNNNNNNNNNNNNNNNNNNNNNNNNNNNNNNNNNNNNNNNNNNNNNNNNNNNNNNNNNNNNNNNNNNNNNNNNNNNNNNNNNNNNNNNNNNNNNNNNNNNNNNNNNNNNNNNNNNNNNNNNNNNNCUUCCCUGCUCCCCAGCUCCCAUCUUCUUCCCGCUCCCCAGCUCCCCAUCUUCCCUGCUCUCCAUCUUCUUCCCGCUCCCCAUCUUCUUCCCUGCCCCUUCUUCCCUGCUCCACCUCCCCUCCCUGCUCCAUAUUUCCUUUUUUUCCAAGUUUCGCUCCUUCUUUUUUUUUUUAAAUUUUAUAUAUAAAUAAAUAAUUAUAAUUAAUAUAAUAUAUUUAAUAUAAAAUAGAUAAUAUGAUGAAUUCUUCAUUUUACGUAUUACCGCACUUUUAAAGUGCGGUAAUACAUAAAUUAAAUUAUUAAUUUAAUUAUUAAAAAUUAUAAAAAUUUUUAAUUAUUAUAAAAUUUAAUAUUCUACCGCACUUUUAGUGCGGUAGAAUUUUUAAUAUAUUUUUUUAAUAUUUAAAAAAUCUACCGCACUUUAUCAGUGCGUUAGAAUUUUUUUAUUUAAAAAAAUUAUAAUUUUGAUUUAACUGCUCUCUACCGCAUUUUAUAAGUGCGGUAAAGCUUACCGCACUUAUAAAAUGCGGUAAAGGACUGAUUCACCCUGUUCUGAGAAAUAUUUUCUCACGGAUCAGGGUUUAAGAAAUAUUUUUUUUUUUUAACUUUAUUUUACAAAAAGCCCGAAUCUACCAUAACAAAACCUGAAGUUGCUGUUCAAACAGAACCAGCAACAUACACUGUUAAAACAGAACCGAAUCAGCAACCGAAGAAAUAGCACAGAACAUUGCGGUGUUUGCCCAAACAGCCUCUGGGAUGGCUCUCUUUCAUGGCGAUGAGGAUAAUUUGUUUAAAAAAUUUGCUUUCAAGAUCUAUCAUUAUUUUUGUUUAUUUAAUAUUUUAUAAUAUCAUCAACUAACAAAAUAAUUAUUCUAAUAAAAAGUAAUAUGCCCUUUAAAUUUAAUUUAGAAUUUUUUAAAAGAAAAUACUUAUAAUUUUUAUGUAUGUCUUAAAAAUUUUGAUACAGCUAUUAGUGAUAUAGUAAUAAUAGCUAUAGUAAUAAGAGGAAAAAGAUAUCAAUUUAUAAAAUUUCUGCAGCCACACAUGUAGAAUUAUUCUUAAUUCAUCAUAAGCAUGAAUAUUAUAUGAAUCAUAAACAUAAAAUUCAUCUAACACCCUAAUAAUAAAUCUUGAAUAAAUUACAUUUCACAAAUAUAGAAAAAUAUAUUUGAUGUAAAAUUAAUUGAUCCUUCUUAAUUCAAUAAAAGAGAGCUACGAAUUUGAAUAAAUUAAUUUUUCUUUUGACCCUUUUAAUUUUAUAUAAUCUUUAGUGAUGGAGACUUUCUAAUAGACAUUAUCUUAAUAUCUGGAAUGAAAACUUUGUUUGCCUUUGAGAAAGACGAAAAAGAAAGAAAAAUUUUAAAAGCAGUAGAAAAAAAAAGAGUAAAUUUAUGAUCUUGGUGUGUGCGUAUUAUGUAUACUAUGAAAAAUAAAAUACACAACUUUGGUUAUUUAAAUCAUUCGCUAAAUGGAUUAAACGUUAUUGUUUUUCAGUUGAAUUAUUUGAAAUGCUGAAGAGCCAUCUGUUAUUUUAUAAAAUUUACAAAUUUUAAAUUUUUUAUUAAAUGUUAUACUCUGAAUUAAUUUUUUACUUUCAAUCUUAUAAUUUUUUUAUCCCUUUUACAUAUAUUAAAAAAAAAAAAUUUUAUUCACUUUCUAAUUAUAUCUAUUUUAAAUAUAUUAAUAAAAUAUUUUAAAUAUUCACUUAAACUCUAUUUAUUUAUAAAAAAUAACUUGUAUUUUAAAGAUUUCCAAAACAUAAUACUAUUAUGAUCAUGGUAUUUUAAAUUAUGUAUCAAUACUUAAAAAUUUCUAUUUGGAUGAUUUUUAUUUUUAUUAUUAUAUUUUAAUAUUUAAAUUUUAUUUGUUUCAUAAAAAAUAUUUUUUAUAUUUUUUGGUGUUUGAAGCAUUCAAAAAAUUUAGUUAAUAAAAAUUAUUGUUCUGAUUAAAUAAAAAAAUUAAAUAUUUUAAAGAAAAUAACUUAAAAUAAAAGUUAUUUCCGAACAUUUGAUAAAAAUAUCAAAUUCUAUUUAUACAAAUUUUUAAUAAAUUUUAAUUUUAAAUUUUUACAUUUAAAUUAAUAUUAAAUAAUAAAAAAAAUAUCUCAAUACUUUUUAUAAAAAAUAUUUUUUAAAUAUAAAUUAUUUUCUGCAAAUAAAUAGAGAUUUAUAAUUAAAAGAAUUUUCAUUUAUAUUAUACACGUUGGAAAAAGAAGCAAGCAAUUUGAUGGACCGAAAAAUAAUCUAGACCGAUGUUGGGCCGAAAAUGUAUUUGAUUUUGGGCAUGAAAGCCCAUUAAAUGUCCAUCAAAUACAUUAGGUAAAAUCACAAGUUUGCCUGCUCAGGGUUUGCGUUUCGAUUUCACUCCAUCCUCAAACAGAUCAUACACAUUACACGCAGUACACACCGUAUUCUCUAUUCCUUGUGAUGAAUCUUGAUGCGUUGGAUUCAUCUGAUGAUCAUGGGAUCUCUUUUGUCAACGGUUAAAACUUAUUGUCACUGUACCAAUAACCAGACUCUUCCUACUCAAGGACACACGCAAUCAUCUUGAACAAUUGAUCAAUUGCCCGCCCAUAUUCACCUAUCGAGUGGGGCCACCUUAUAUUACCACAGACAGGUGUCGCACUUCCAAGCAUGAUCUACAGGUCACUGACCCUUGGUUGAGACACAUCAUCAGUGGAGGGCCCACGCGUAUGGUGUUAUCAAGGUGGCUUAAGAUGGCCAGAUAGUCAGGUGGUCUGGUUGAAAUCAAACUAAAAUCUAAACCCACAUCGUUCAUUGAGUUCAUUAUAAUAUUCUUUAUAAUGCGAAGCGAAAUGUGCAACGCUUGUCCCUUCGGGGACAUCCGAUAAAAUUGGAACGAUACAGAGAAGAUUAGCAUGGCCCCUGCGCAAGGAUGACACGCACAAAUCGAGAAAUGGUCCAAAUUUUUUUUUGAUCCAAAACCUUCUCGAUUGGCAGCUCUGCUUUUUUCGUGUCUCUCUGGUUUUUGUUCAAACACCUGUGCUGCAACAUUUCUUAGCUAUUGCCAACAGCAAGGGAGUAGAGUUCCAUUCGAGAGGUCUGUUUUUUUUUCCUUCCUUUUAUUGAAUUCUUGUCAUUUUCGUGUUGGAUUUUUUUGUUUGAUUGUUCUAAAAUUGGUUAAAACAGUUCGUAGUAAGUGAUAUUUCAAUUGGCUGUUAAUAGAUGUUGCCAAUAAUUCUUAUUCUUCUUCUUUAAUGUGAUUUUUUUUCUUGGGAUUUAUGUUCUUCCACAUGAAUGCGGGAAUAGAGGUUUGUCCUGGCUUGGAAAUUUAUCAAAUUGCAUUAGGAUCCUUGUGCUUGCUAAACAUUGUUUGGAUGGUUUCUAUGUUCAUCCACAUGAAUGUGGUACUUUGCUUUCAUGUCAAUCUAUAAGUAAAGAAAUCCAAUUCUUACCCACCUUGUCUUCCUUCAUUGGUUAAAGAAAAAUAAAUGAAAUUCUAAACUUAGUGAGUGGAUACGCCAGAUUUUGUUUUGAAAAAUUGUAUUUAGUUUGCGAAGAUUUUAAGUGAACUCAGAAUUUUAGUAUAAUUUGGAUGUAGGGGAACUCAGAUGCAUAAGGCAAUUAAUUCUUGUAAGUAAGAUGAUUCCUAUGUAAUUUAUGCUAGCAAGUAUCCAAACACUAGGCUUUUAUGAAUUCAGAUCUAAGCUAAAAGUGUAGCUUAACCAACUUUUCUGUUAGUUAGUUUGUGAGAUUGUGGUUCUUAAAGGCAAUUUUAGCAACUCAAUCAUCAAAAAUCAAUAAUGAUACAAGAAAAAGAAAAGCAAAAGCAAACUAUGGGAAUUUCUUCCAUGAAGUAAUUUGUUGAUUGGUUUCUUCAUGUAUUUUUAAGUGUGAGAAGUGAAAGUUUCAUGUUUCUAUUCCCAUCCAUAAGCACAGUUGUAAGUCUUAGUAGCUGAGGCCAUGGCAUGUUUGAUAGCAUCUUAGCUUUAGGCCUUGACCAAUCUAGGCCUGAUCACAAGUCAGAAUCCACUUGUGAGCCUAAUCAGAUGAUGGAAUCUAUCAGGUUGGAAUUGAACUUAGUCUCUUUUUAACAAUAGUUUCUCUCUCUGAUUUCACAUUUUGCCUUGGAUGAUUUCUUAGCUACUAGGAUCAGCACUGGAGAUUGCAUUCAAAAUUUCUUAGCUAUUGGUUUCUUUUUUUUCCUUUAUUAAAUGAUUGCAGUAUGGCACACUGCAGGAGUUUGUGCUCCAGAAUGGUUUAGCAGCUCUAGGAUGAAUCUACUAUUCAGGACUGAAGCUCUUUGCCAUUCUGCAAAUUUAUGAACUCUUUGUCUGUGAUUUAUUUAUUUAUUCAUUUAUUUUUAUUUCACUGUCGCUUUGCUUGCAAGAUAUUUUUUCAGAUAACUCCUGUGUGGUUUUUGUUGAUAAUUAAUUAUCCAGAAAAUCAAGCACCUGGAGUUUUUUUAUUGGGUGUAAGGGGACUUAGAUGCACAAGGCCAAUUUCUUCUUAGAAGUAACAUGCUUCCUAUAUAAUUUAAUACAAAUACAGAAGGUAUCCUAGUUUAGACUGUUAUGAAUUGAGAUGUAAGCUAAUAGAGCAGCUUUAACUUCAUGUUUAAGCACAGUUGUAAGUACUAGGAGCCUAGCCAACCCAUUGCAAAUUUGAUAAUGUGUUAUUAUUGGGUCUUGACCAAUCUAGGCCUGACAAGUCAGAAUCCACUUGUGGGCCUGAUGAGAUGAUGUAAUCCAUCCAUGUUGUGAAGUCAUCUAGUUGGAAUUGAACUUAGUCCCACAUCGUUUAGUUAUGCAAAGUUGAAAGCCUUUAUAAAAAUUCAACAGAAACAAAUGGUUGUCCCUUCGGGGACAUCCGAUAAAAUUGGAACGAUACAGAGAAGAUUAGCAUGGCCCCUGCGCAAGGAUGACACGCACAAAUCGAGAAAUGGUCCAAAUUUUUUUUUAAUCCUCCAGAUUUUUGUACCCUAGCCUUUGCUGAUUUUCAAAUGGUUUCUCUCCUGAUUUUACAUUUUUCCCUGCAAAAUUUAUUGGCAUUAAGAUCAAUACUGGACAUCAAAUCCAGAAAUUCAGUUGUUAUUUCCUUUCCUUUAUUAAAUUCUUGUUAUAUUUCACAGUGCAAUUAGGAUUUUGUGCUCCAAAAUGGUUUAGGAGCUCUAAUAUGAACCUAUGAUUGAAGCUCUCUAUAUGCAAAUUUAUUAAUGCUUUGAGUGUCUUUGAUUUUUUUUUUACAACCUUUCUGUAGCUUUGUAACAAUGGUUUCUCUCUCUGGUUUCACCUUUUUGCCUAGCAAAAUUUCUACUACGCUCAGCACUGGAGAUUGCAUUCAAAAGUUCUAUUGGUUUUUCUUUUUCCUUUAUUAAAUUUUUGCAGUAUUUCAUACUGCAACAAUUUUGUGCCCCAAAAUGGUUUAGCAGCUCUAAUAUGAAUCCAGGAGUGAAUCUCUUUCCCAGUCUACAAAUUUAUCAAUGCUUUUUCUUUGAUUUUUUUAAUUUUUAUUUUACUGUCAUUUUGCUUGCAAGAUAAUUAUAGAUGACUACUCUGUAGUUGUGAGAGUUAAUUAUCCAGGAAGUCAAGAACCUGGAGUUUGUGAAGAUUUUUAUUGAAUGCUG
rnacentral:lncRNA from 1 species